GUAGGUGGCAAGCGUUGUCCGGAAUUAUUGGGCGUAAAGCGCGCGCAGGUGGUCUUUAAGUCUGAUGUGAAAGCCCCCGGGCUCAACCGGGGAGGGUCAUUGGAAACUGGGGAACUUGAGUACAGGAGAGGAAAGUGGAAUUCCACGUGUAGCGGUGAAAUGCGUAGAUAUGUGGAGGAACACCAGUGGCGAAGGCGACUUUCUGGCCUGUAACUGACACUGAGGCGCGAAAGCGUGGGGAGCAAACAGGAUUAGAUACCCUGGUAGUCCACGCCGUAAACGAUGAGUGCUAAGUGUUGGGGGGUUUCCGCCCCUCAGUGCUGCAGCUAACGCAUUAAGCACUCCGCCUGGGGAGUACGGUCGCAAAGACUGA
rnacentral:rRNA from 1 species